rnacentral:tRNA from 3 species
GCCGCCUUAGCUCAGUUGGUAGAGCAUCGCAUUCGUAAUGCGGGGGUCGUAGGUUCGAAUCCUACAGGCGGCACCA